rnacentral:rRNA from 1 species
UAAUUGAAGAGUUUGAUCAUGGCUCAGAUUGAACGCUGGCGGCAGGCCUAACACAUGCAAGUCGAGCGGUAACAGGAGAAGCUUGCUUCUCGCUGACGAGCGGCGGACGGGUGAGUAAUGUAUGGGGAUCUGCCCGAUAGAGGGGGAUAACCACUGGAAACGGUGGCUAAUACCGCAUAAUCUCUUAGGAGCAAAGCAGGGGAA